rnacentral:tRNA from 1 species
GUGAGCUUAGCUUAGUUGGUAGUAUAUUGCAUUUUAUAUGCAGGAGCCGGGGUUCGAACCCCGGACACUCCA